AUGGUGUACUCCUCCUGUUUGAAUCGGAGUUUGAAACCAAACAAACUUCUCCUCAGGAGGAUAGAUGGGGCGAUUCAGGUGAGGUCCCAUGUAGAUCUAACUUUCUAUUCACUCAUGGGAUCCGGGCGGUCCGGGGGGGCCACCACGGCUCCUCUCUUCUCGAGAAUCCAUACAUCCCUUUUCAGUGUAUGGAGAGCUAUCUCUCGAGCACAGGUUGAGGUUCGUCCUCAAUGGGAAAAUGGAGCACCUAACAACGCAUCUUCACAGACCAAGAACUACGAGAUCACCCCUUUCAUUCUGGGGUGA
rnacentral:rRNA from 1 species